rnacentral:rRNA from 1 species
UGCAGUCGAACGGCAGCACGGGAGCUUGCUCCUGGUGGCGAGUGGCGAACGGGUGAGUAAUAUAUCGGAACGUAUCCAAUAAUGGGGGAUAACUAAUCGAAAGGUUGGCUAAUACCGCAUACGCCCUGAGGGGGAAAGCUGGGGAUCUUCGGACCUAGCGUUAAUGGAGCGGCCGAUAUCUGAUUAGCUAGUUGGUGGGGUAAAGGCCCACCAAGGCGACGAUCAGUAGCUGGUCUGAGAGGACGACCAGCCACACUGGAACUGAGACACGGUCCAGACUCCUACGGGAGGCAGCAGUGGGGAAUUUUGGACAAUGGGCGCAAGCCUGUUCCAGCCAUUCCGCGUGAGUGAAGAAGGCCUUCGGGUUGUAAAGCUCUUUCGCAAGGGAAGAAACGAUUUAGGUGAAUAAUCUAAGUUAAUGACGGUACCUUGAUAAGAAGCACCGGCUAACUACGUGCCAGCAGCCGCGGUAAUACGUAGGGUGCGAGCGUUAAUCGGAAUUACUGGGCGUAAAGCGUGCGCAGGCUGUUUUGUAAGUCAGAUGUGAAAUCCCCGAGCUCAACUUGGGAACUGCGUUUGAAACUACAAGACUAGAAUAGGUCAGAGGGGGGUAGAAUUCCACGUGUAGCAGUGAAAUGCGUAGAGAUGUGGAGGAAUAUCAAUGGCGAAGGCAGCCCCCUGGGAUCAUAUUGACGCUCAUGCACGAAAGCGUGGGGAGCAAACAGGAUUAGAUACCCUGGUAGUCCACGCCCUGAACGAUGUCAACUA